AUGCACGCUGGCGGCGUGCCUAAUACCUGCAAGUCGCGCGAACAGACGAGGAGCUUGCUCCUUUGACGUUAGCGGCGGACGGGUGAGUAACACGUGGGUAACCUACCUAUAAGACUGGGAUAACUUCGGGAAACCGGAGCUAAUACCGGAUAAUAUUUCGAACCGCAUGGUUCGAUAGUGAAAGAUGGCUUUGCUAUCACUUAUAGAUGGACCUGCGCCGUAUUAGCUAGUUGGUAAGGUAACGGCUUACCAAGGCAACGAUACGUAGCCGACCUGAGAGGGUGAUCGGCCACACUGGAACUGAGACACGGUCCAGACUCCUACGGGAGGCAGCAGUAGGGAAUCUUCCGCAAUGGGCGAAAGCCUGACGGAGCAACGCCGCGUGAGUGAUGAAGGUCUUCGGAUCGUAAAACUCUGUUAUUAGGGAAGAACAAACGUGUAAGUAACUGUGCACGUCUUGACGGUACCUAAUCAGAAAGCCACGGCUAACUACGUG
rnacentral:rRNA from 1 species